rnacentral:rRNA from 1 species
GACGAACGCUGGCGGCGUGCCUAAUACAUGCAAGUAGAACGCAGUUGCGAACGGGUGAGUAACGCGUAGGUAACUGCCUCAUAGCGGGGGAUAACUAUUGGAAACGAUAGCUAAUACCGCCUACUGUGAGAUGGACCUGCGUUGUAUUAGCUAGUUGGUGAGGUAAAGGGUCACCAAGGCGACGGUACAUAGCCGACCUGAGACGGUGGUGGGACACACCGGGAAUGGGAGAAGGGACAGACUCCGACUGGAGGCAGAAGUAGGGAAUCUUCGGGAAAGGAAGGAAGUCUGAACGAGCAAAGGCGGGUGAGGUGAGAAGGUUUUCGGGGCGGAAAGAUCUGUGGUUAGGGAAGCGGUAACUAACCAGAAAGCGACGGCUAACUACGUGCCAGCAGCCGCGGUAAUAC